rnacentral:rRNA from 2 species
UACGAGGGGUCCAAGCGUUGUUCGGAAUCACUGGGCGUAAAGCGGGUGUAGGUGGCUAGGCAAGUUGGAUGUGAAAGCCCCGGGCUCAACCCGGGAAGUGCAUCCAAAACUACUUAGCUUGAGUAAGGAAGAGGAUAGGAGAAUUCUUGGUGUAGUGGUGAAAUACGUAGAUAUCAAGAGGAACACCGGUGGCGAAGGCGCCUAUCUGGUCCAUUACUGACACUCAGACCCGAAAGCGUGGGUAGCAAACAGG